CCUACGGGUGGCUGCAGUGAGGAAUAUUGGUCAAUGGACGAGAGUCUGAACCAGCCAAGUAGCGUGAAGGAUGACUGCCCUAUGGGUUGUAAACUUCUUUUAUAUGGGAAUAAAAUGUUCCACGUGUGGGGUUUUGUAUGUACCAUAUGAAUAAGGAUCGGCUAACCCCGUGCCAGCAGCCGCGGUAAUACGGAGGAUACUAGCGUUUUCCGGCUUUAUUGGGGUUAAAGGGUGAGUAGGUGGAUUGUUAAGUCAGUUGUGAAAGUUGGGGGCUCAACCGUAAAAGUGCAGUUGAAACUGGCAGUCUUGAGUACAGUAGAGGUGGGCGGAAUUCGUGGUGUAGCGGUGAAAUGCUUAGAUAUCACGAAGAACUCCGAUUGCGAAAGCAGUUCACUGGACUGCAACUGACACUGAGGCUCGAAAGUGUGGGUAUCAAACAGGAUUAGAUACCCUAGUAGUC
rnacentral:rRNA from 1 species